UCAGAUUGAACGCUGGCGGCAGGCUUAACACAUGCAAGUCGAGCGGAUGAAGGUAGCUUGCUACUGGAUUCAGCGGCGGACGGGUGAGUAAUGCUUAGGAAUCUGCCUAUUAGUGGGGGACAACGUUCCGAAAGGRGCGCUAAUACCGCAUACGUCCUACGGGAGAAAGCAGGGGACCUUCGGGCCUUGCGCUAAUAGAUGAGCCUAAGUCGGAUUAGCUAGUUGGUAGGGUAAAGGCCUACCAAGGCGACGAUCUGUAGCGGGUCUGAGAGGAUGAUCCGCCACACUGGGACUGAGACACGGCCCAGACUCCUACGGGAGGCAGCAGUGGGGAAUAUUGGACAAUGGGGGGAACCCUGAUCCAGCCAUGCCGCGUGUGUGAAGAAGGCCUUUUGGUUGUAAAGCACUUUAAGCGAGGAGGAGGCUACCUAGAUUAAUACUUUAGGAUAGUGGACGUUACUCGCAGAAUAAGCACCGGCUAACUCUGU
rnacentral:rRNA from 1 species